GACGUGAUAUACUUUUAUAGAGGGAGGGGAGUUUCACCCCUCUGGUUACUUGUCCUUGUUUUUGUCUAUCUUGCGUAAUGUUAUCAGCGCUACUGCAAGAGUUACAAUUUCAAGGACUGUUUUUAUUUCCUCUAAGAUGUCUUUCACU
rnacentral:sRNA from 2 species